rnacentral:rRNA from 1 species
AUUUUGGACAAUGGGGUAAACCCUGAUGCAGCGACGCCGCGUGAGCGAAGAAUGCCUUCGGGUAGUACCGCUAUGUCCUAAGGAAAGAAACGGACGGUACCUUAGGAGGAAGCCUCGGCUAACUACUUGCCAGCAGCCGCGGUAAUACGUAGGGGGCGAGCGUUAUCCGGAAUUACUGGGCGCAAAGGGUGCGUAGGCGGCCUUUUAAGUCAGAUGUGAAAGGCUACGGCUUAACCGUAGUUAGCAUUUGAAACUAAAAGGCUUGAGUGCAGGAGAGGAGAGUGGAAUUCCUAGUGUAGCGGUGAAAUGCGUAGAUAUUAGGAGGAACACCAGUGGCGAAGGCGACUCUCUGGACUGCAACUGACGCUGAGGCACGAAAGCGUGGGGAGCGAACAGG